CCACGUUUUCUGAGCUGCUGACGUCACCUCCGUCUUGCCCGUUGUCCAGCGCGGCGGUACGGCGGCAACCUCAACCGUCGAUCUCUGCUCGAUUCGGUCCCCAACCCAGUAUUUAAGCAUCAGUGGCAACCCUAAUCGAUCCCAAAUCUCCCCAAACACAUUUUAGGUCAAGCUCCCGACCCCCAAAUUGGAGUUCUUAGCGUUCAUGUGUUUUUCCGGCAAAACGACGGCGACGACGAAGUUCAGGGUGUUCCAGGUCGAUUCAAGCCUCCAGGUGUGUCCAUCAAAUUCUAUUGAAGGUCAGCAAGUGUUCUCAGGGUUUUGCAUCUCGUUUCAUGGAGUUUUCGUGAGUUUUAAGCCCUAGCCGGAGUUGGAGAAGGUCGCCGGAUUCUGGAGUCGAUUUGGGGACUUCCAAGGUGACCCAUCCCCUAGAAAUCAUGCACCCAGCAAUGCAAUCAAGUUGGGAACGAUUUCCCGAUGAUCAAUCAAGUAUUACCUCAGUUUUGGCCUAGUUUUAGAGCUCGCCGGAAUCUGGAAAAGUUUGCAAUUUACGUAAAGUUCAGUGAUUGUUUUGUAACCUAGAAAAGUUUGAUUACCAACUGGAAAUUUCAGUACAGUCCCAUGUUUAUUUUGUAACUUCGGAAAAGUUGAAUGACUGAUUUGCUAUCAGAGAAUUGUUCAGGGACUAGUUUUGUAAUUUCCCAUGGGUGGAAUUACAGUUCUGCCAUUGAGUGUUCUCCGAUUUCAGAAGGAGUUUUCAGAGCAUAACUCGACCGUUUGAGCUCCAAACGACGCAUGGUCAGGAGCUCUGGAUUCAUGGCAGCGAGAGGAAUCUUCUCGGACACUUUUUGAGAUGUCGGCUCAUCAACCAGGUCGGUGGUUUAAGGGGAUAAAAUCUU
rnacentral:lncRNA from 1 species